rnacentral:rRNA from 1 species
CCGUAGGUGAACCUGCNGAAGGAUCA